rnacentral:rRNA from 1 species
CCUACGGGUGGCAGCAGUGGGGAAUAGUGCACAAUGGGCGAAAGCCUGAUGCAGCAACGCCGCGUGAGCGAUGAAGGCCUGCGGGUCGGAAAGCUCUGUCCGCAAGGAAGAGAAUGACGGUACGUGAGGAGGAAGCCCCGGCGAACGACGGGACAGCAGCCGCGGUAAGACGUAGGGGGCUAGCGUUAUCCGGAAUUACUGGGCGUCAAGGGUGCGGAGGUUGUUUCUUAAGUCAGAGGUGAAAGGCUACGGCUCAACCGUAGGAAGCCUUUGAAACUGGGAAACUUGAGGGCAGGAGCGGCGCGUGGACUUCCUUUUGUAGCUGUGCACUGCGUAGAUAUUAGGCG